UACGGAGGGUGCUAGCGUUGUUCGGAAUUACUGGGCGUAAAGCGCACGUAGGCGGCUUCGCAAGUCAGAGGUGAAAGCCCGGGGCUCAACCCCGGAAUUGCCUUUGAGACUGCAUCGCUAGAAUUGUGGAGAGGUAAGUGGAAUUCCGAGUGUAGAGGUGAAAUUCGUAGAUAUUCGGAAGAACACCAGUGGCGAAGGCGACUUACUGGACACAUAUUGACGCUGAGGUGCGAAAGCGUGGGGAGCAAACAGG
rnacentral:rRNA from 1 species